AUAAACAAUGCAUAUUUGUAAAAAAAGACUGCAGGGCAGUGAGACUCCAGACAGAGCCCAUCCUGGCAGCCUCCCUGAGUUGAAAAGGAGCCUAGGGACCAGAGAAACAAAGGCUGCUGGAAUUUGCAGGAGAAGAAAGAAGAAUGCUGCUAUUAAGUUUUUAAUAUCCACAUUCGGUGUUGUGCCACGAAAUAAGGAAGAAAAAGGAAUGUGACCUACCUUCCUGGAAGUCAUCUCCUCCUCCUGCAAUCUGGCCGACAUGAAGCACCGCUGGUUUGCCCCCCAGCCAUAUCAUCUAUGCCCCUCUACCUCUCAGGAGAAGGGGUCUUUAGAGCAUAAGUUCCCCUUCUACA